rnacentral:lncRNA from 1 species
CAAAAUGCCAAAACACUUUUGAUCAAGAACCUGCCUGACAAAGUCACUCCACAUGAAUUAAAAGAAGUGUUUGAGGAUGCUUUUCAAAUCAGAUUAGUGAGCAAAGAUGGGAUGAGUAAAAAGUAUGUUUUGCACCUCGUACUGAAUAAGAAUGUAUGUCUACUGGAUACAAACAUAAUGGAAUUUCCUUACAUUCUCUCAAAUCUUUUAUGCCUGAUUUUAGAGAAGGAAAGAGUAGUUAUCCAGAUUUCUGCCAGUAGGCAUAAAAAGCCAAAGGGGACAUCAUAAAGGGACAGCCAAAACUCCUAGAAAACUGUAGUGGUGCUAUAGAGAAAUAGAGACUUCAUCUGCUACCAAGUACAAGAUUGAAGAUUGGAAUUUAUUCAUAGAUUAUGUACAUUCUGUCUUCUCUCUCCAGGGCUGACUCCACUAGAAUAAUGUACUUAGUAACUUGCUUGGACAGGUACCAAAAUAGCACAUAGAAUUGAAUUGUUAGGUUUAUGUUGUAACCAAUUAAUGAAACACUGUCCUUAGAUAUCUAGGCUUUGGUAGAGUAAGAGAGUGAAUAUGGUGAAAUUAGAGAGGGUGGAGUAUAAUAUAUUUUGAAGGGAUUGUCAUUGAGGUGAAAAUUGAGUAUUGGGUUUACAGAUACAUUUGAGCUAAAUAUGUUGGUGUAGGUGAACUCUAAAAUAAUCUGUAGCAGUAUGUUCUGAUGAACAUAAUCUCUAGAAAGAAUACUACAGAUCUUCAAGCAUAAGAUAGAACUGUAUGUAUUGACCUGGAAAGCCAUGAUAAAUAUGAGGAAACAAAUCUGAAAGAAUAAAUUCCAAAUUGUUAGCAGUGUUUACUAGGAGGAGAUUUGGGAGCACUCUGCCUAUAGUCUCCAGAAAACCAGCAAACAAGUUCCUGCCAAAAGCUAUAUAAUUUCUCGAAGUUUAAUUAGGUUUUAAUUAAAUAUACUUAAAUCUUUGUAAUCAUUUCUCUACCUGAAGAAUUACUGUAUCACUUCUCAGCCUUUUGGCUAAGAUCAAGUGUAGUAUCUGUUUUUUCAGUUUAAUAUCUGAUAUGUCCUAAAUUAAAAAUAAUAAAAAAUAAAUAAAGGGGAGAUAAGAGAAACCAGAGACUCCAU